rnacentral:ncRNA from 1 species
GUAAAGCAAUUGAUGAAGACGUUAAAUAAUGAUUUUUUAUAGAGAAGCUGUGGGUGGUGCAAACAGUUAAAAAUAGUUAUUUAAGAAUCACUUCUAAUGUGACUUAGGGAUAAGCUAAGUACGUUAACUGCGUUAAAGUUAAGAGAGUAUGAUUACAUUCAUAAAAUAGGAUGGUACCACGGAUAUGUUCGUUCCUAUG